GGAGAGGUGCCAGAGUGGUUGAAUGGGACGGUCUCGAAAACCGUUUUAGGGCUUGCUCUAACGAGAGUUCGAAUCUCUCCCUCUCCG
rnacentral:tRNA from 1 species